rnacentral:rRNA from 1 species
CCUACGGGAGGCAGCAGUGAGGAAUAUUGGUCAAUGGACGAGAGUCUGAACCAGCCAAGUAGCGUGAAGGAUGACUGCCCUAUGGGUUGUAAACUUCUUUUAUAUGGGAAUAAAAUGUUCCACGUGUGGGAUUUUGUAUGUACCAUAUGAAUAAGGAUCGGCUAACUCCGUGCCAGCAGCCGCGGUAAUACGGAGGAUACAAGCGUUAUCCGGAUUUAUUGGGUUUAAAGGGAGCGUAGGUGGAUUGUUAAGUCAGUUGUGAAAGUUUGCGGCUCAACCGUAAAAUUGCAGUUGAAACUGGCAGGCUUGAGUACAGUUGAGGUAGGCGGAAUUCGUGGUGUAGCGGUGAAAUGCUUAGAUAUCACGAAGAACUCCGAUUGCGAAGGCAGCUUACUAAACUGCCACUGACAUUGAUGCUCGAAAGUGUGGGUAUCAAACAGGAUUAGAUACCCCAGUAGUC